rnacentral:rRNA from 1 species
CCUACGGGACGCAGCAGUGGGGAAUAUUGCACAAUGGGGGAAACCCUGAUGCAGCAACGCCGCGUGAAGGAAGACGGUUUUCGGAUUGUAAACUUCUAUCAAUAGGGAAGAAAGAAAUGACGGUACCUAAAUAAGAAGCCCCGGCUAACUACGUGCCAGCAGCCGCGGUAAUACGUAGGGGGCAAGCGUUAUCCGGAUUUACUGGGUGUAAAGGGGGCGCAGACGGCGAUGCAAGCCAGGAGUGAAAGCCCGGGGCCCAACCCCGGGACUGCUCUUGGAACUGCGUGGCUGGAGUGCAGGAGGGG